rnacentral:rRNA from 1 species
GAUUUCUGGGCUCAAGAAUUUGGCCGGCCACGGUUUCGUGUGUUAGUGCUUUGUUCUGUGUCCAUCCUUCCAAUCGCCGUUGGCUCUUCUUCAUUGAUUGGUCAGCGGUAUUGGAUCUUUUACUUUGAAAAAAUUAGAGUGUUUCAAGCAGGCUUUAUGCUAUGAAUACAUUAGCAUGGAAUAAUAAUUUAGGACUUCGGUUCUAUUUUGUUGGUUUCUAGGACUGAAGUAAUGAUUGAUAGGGAUAGUUGGGGGUGCUAGUAUUCAGCGGCCAGAGGUGAAAUUCUCGGAUUCGCUGAAGACUAACUUAUGCGAAAGCAUU